rnacentral:rRNA from 1 species
UACGUAGGGUGCAAGCGUUAAUCGGAAUUACUGGGCGUAAAGCGUGCGCAGGCGGUUUCGUAAGUCUGUCGUGAAAUCCCCGGGCUUAACCUGGGAAUGGCGAUGGAGACUGCGAGGCUAGAGUUUGGCAGAGGGGGGUAGAAUUCCACGUGUAGCGGUGAAAUGCGCAGAUAUCAGGAGGAACACCGAUGGCGAAGGCACUUUACUGGGCUAUUACUAACACUCAGAGACGAAAGCUAGGGUAGCAAAUGGG